ACAGAUUGGUCAAGUGAUAUUUUCUGAAAAUGAAAAGUUGAGUAGUGUCCUCAGAAAACCAAAGAGUGCUGACUGAAACUUAUUACCACUGAACAUUGUUCACAGAGUGCGCCAAUCGAGAACCCUGAUCUAGAUGUGGAUAGUGGGCAUACAGGGCCACAACCAAAGAUGGAAAAUCAAGUGGAGGCACUCCACAGAUACAAAUCGGAGGAAGGGGCCAAGCCAUCCGUCCCUGAUCCAGAAGAGGUAUGCCGCCAGACAACUGAUCUUGACCUCAAGCCACUUUUCAAUGCAUACCAAAGGGGCAAAGCAGGGUUUUGUAAACUCUUAAGCUCACUUUCAUCACUUAGUAGUAUUGGCUUUGGUGAUAUUACCACCUGGAAAGAAGGAGUAUUUCUAAACGAACUUAUACAGUUCAGGAGACAAAACUUUGAUCAACCAACGCAAACAUUUCAUCUCUUUUUACAUCUUAGCUCCCUCAGAAUCUAUCUAGUCCUAUCAUUUCCUAUUAUUAUCCUUUGGUGCUUACUGACCAAUUUUCCCUUGCACAGAUGUCUUCAGGGUAAGUUACUGCCAAAUACAGGGCAUGAAAGGGAUAAAUAAAUUUGGGGAAAUAUCAGCGUCCUGAGGCAUCCCCUGUUCUAAUGGGAAUGUUUUCCUUCCAUGCUAGAGACUUAGUCCUCUGUCAUACAAUCCUGUUGGCCGAUGGGUUGUUGAUCUCAUAGCUUGUCUCUCUAUGGAGCAGUCCUAUCCUUAUCUCCUCAGAAGCUGUCUAGUGUCCUGUGGCCCCAUGUGUCAACUGGGUUUCAUGCAUCUAUUCCUCUGGGUCUCACUGUGUGAGUGACCCACCAGUGACUCUCUGUACCGAGAGUCCUUUCUUCUGUCAAAGAGUUGAGUUGAGUUGAGUUGGGAUGGGUUUAGGUUCGCUUCUUCUCUUCAGAGCCCAGAUGUGUUUGGAGUCCAGAUUCUUAAGAGGGAAGAACAGAUCUCCUUGCAUUCUUGGAAAAGGGUCUGUCCUGACCAGUUUGGCUGAGGUUGCUGUCCUUUCUCCACUGGGAAUUGUUGGAAGCCUUUUCAAAAAAAUCAAGUGGCUGUGGGAUUCUGGAUGGCCUGUGAGAUCCAAGUUCUCCUCAGCCUGAGGAUCCAUUUUUCUAGGACUGGCACCAGAAGCUGUGGUUAUUGAUUGCUUUGUAAAGGCCACUCGAGUUCUGCCACAGAGAAAGAUACAGCCCGUUUUGUUUUUCUUUGCUUCCUUGCUUGAUUUCUUUCCUUUCCCCUUUGGUUUGACUAAUCUUGUCACCGGACGAGCCCACAGAGAUCUCCAGAUGAGGGAUGGAAUUUCUGUGAAAAUUGCAUGGGAGACCAGAGGAGCAAGGCAGUGAAUCCUUUCUUUGCUUUUGGGAGGGUGGGCCACUUAAAGCUCUGGACCUUGCCAAGUUUCCAUCCCAGGAUAAUGUCUCCAAGUCUGCUUUCAGAUUGAAAGGAAUCAGCUUUCCAUUUGCUGGCUCUUGUUUCAUGGAUUUCAAAGUUUUCUUAUCACUUGAAGCCAUUUGAAUGAAAUGGCUUCCACCAUGUAUAUGUGUCUUCUAUGUUUGUAUGAUUGCCCCUUGUCUAGAGACAGACUACUUGUAUGCGUGCACACGUUUGUUUGCGUCCCGUGGCUUUGCUAAGCGUGUUUACUUCUCUGUGCUGUCUACAUCGGCAUGCCUCGGGGCCUUUCCUGGAAGGAAUGUUUUCCUUUGGUAAUAAAAUUGGUUUCACCCCUAA